ensembl:lncRNA
CUGCAAUCUAAUUUGGAAAAUCAGCUCUCUAGCUCCUGAUUAAAAACUGUGGCUGACAACUCUACAAAAACCAGCCAUGCUUUAAACAGGAGACCUGGCAUCUGAAAGAUAUUAUCCAUCAGUCUGUCCUUAAUACCACAUCAACAUCUUUGGGAGAAGCAAGACCAAACACAGGGCGAUGUACUUGAAGCUCAAAUUCGUCAAUUAUCUGUAACUGCCUGAGUGAUUUUGGGCAAGCCUCUGCACUCCUGCCACUGUUUUCUUGUCAGUCAAAUAUGGUUUUCCUGCUGAGUGCUGUGAAGUCUGCCUUUUCUCAGGCACUCCAAUGUUUCCAAUCUGUUUACCAGUUUCUCCCUGUUUUUCCAGAACUGUUGCUUGACCUGUUACCAUGUUUGACAAGGAUAUCAGACAGCCAUGGGAUAAGUGCCUUCCCCUCCUAGAUCUCCUAAAGGAGCCUAAAACACAGGCAGAAGACUUCCCAAGUACCUUUGAAAUUCCAAAAUGUGGUUUGCUUCUUCUGCUUUAAAUGUUUGCCUGAGGAUGAGAUGGAUUGUGUUCCUUGCUGCUGGUGGUGAAGGGAAGUGACAGAGAAAGUUCAGAUAAGCCCACCCCAUCUCUCAUCUGGGUACUUGGAGAAUGGACACAGCUGGAAAUGGUAGAAGGACAUUUCUGAAUCCCCUAUCAUUACCUCCUGCCCUUGAUUUAGAAAAACUGUGCAGAAGUGGAGAAAAGGAGAGUCAGUUUCUCUAACCAUGUCUCAAUGUGAUCUCUGAGAAGCAGCUGUGAGAACAUCUGGCAGCACGAGGUGCCCCUCGCUGCCCAAGGCUUUGCAAAAAGCUCCUUGGCGCGGUGGGGAUUGAUCUCAUGGUCUGCUCUCCUCAUGGGGUGCCCAUUGUUUACACCCAGGCAGCACUGGCCAUCUCUCAAACACUGUGCAGACGAUUUCUCCUUCUUUCUUUCAGUUCUUGCCUUUUCUCUUGUGAGAAGAAUCAAAAAGCAGAAAUGGGUGAUAGUUCUUGUGAGGAGGACACACAAUCACCAAGAUCCCGACUGAAACAUGCAAUUACUUCCCAGGAGAACUGGGAAGAUACAACUCCAAACCCUUUGGCCUGGAGGCAAAAUAUCCUGCAUAUUAGGCAAGGGCUCAAAAAGACUGGUCAAGAGUAGAAGAAAAGCACUGCCAUUUCUUUUCCUGGACACUGGAAAAAGCUCUGUGUACCUCUGCACUUCAGUGCAAAGCACAAAUUCAGGCAUUUAUGGCUUAAUUGCAUGAUGUUGGCUGAUUCCUCAAUGAAUCAAUGAAUCGAUGACUCUCCAUUUGUUGGAAGCAGUGUUGUCUUUACCUCUCCAUUUCUCUGGCUGUAGCUGUGGCUGACCUUUUAUUUAGAUUUUUGUCACCCCAUGAUAAUCCUCAGAUUUGGUCAUGGAAUUGUCUCAAUUCAGUAAAUUGGGGAAAACUGAAAUGAUGGAUAAGCUACUGAAAAGUGUAUGUACAAGAAACACAUUUCUGAUUUCAGCUGUUUUGAACAUGUCUUUUGUCAGCAAAAAUGAAAUGACACUUCUAUGACUGAUUACAAUAAUUAGUGAUAAUUUAACAACAAUUUUUUGCAACUCCAUAAAAAUUGGAAGUAGAAAUACAUUUUGUUAUAUCUGAUUUUCGAAAUAAAUGUGCAUUUUAGGGAAGAACA